UACGGAGGGAGCUAGCGUUGUUCGGAAUUACUGGGCGUAAAGCGCGCGUAGGCGGCUUUGUAAGUUAGAGGUGAAAGCCCGGGAGCUCAACUCCGGAACUGCCUUUAAGACUGCAUCGCUAGAAUCAUGGAGAGGUGAGUGGAAUUCCGAGUGUAGAGGUGAAAUUCGUAGAUAUUCGGAAGAACACCAGUGGCGAAGGCGACUCACUGGACAUGUAUUGACGCUGAGGUGCGAAAGCGUGGGGAGCAAACAGG
rnacentral:rRNA from 1 species